CCCGGCGUUCGCCGCGGGCAGCCUCGGGGAGGCCCUCGGUUCACGUGAAGCCCAGCCUGCGGCGACGGAAGCAGAAGCGAUGAAGCCCAGGCCCGCGAGGUUUGUGGAUAAUAAGCUGAAGCAGCGCGUCGUCCAGUACCUCACCAGUAACCGAUGUGGCAAAUAUGUGGACACUGGAGUCUUAGCAUCCGAUUUACAAAGAAUGUACAGUAUAGACUAUGGUCGAAGAAAAAGAAAUGCUUUUAGGAUUCAGGUAGAAAAAGUAUUUAGCAUAAUUAGUAGUGAGAAGGAACUUAAGGAUCUACCAGAAUUAGAAGAUGAACAUCUGGCUAAAAGAGCAAGACACGGUGAAGAGGAUAAUGAGUAUAAUGAAAGCUAUUCUGAUGAUGAUUCAAAUAUGGAAGAUUACCCAGAUCCACAGUCAGCAAAUCAGAUGAACAGUUCCCUGCUCUCCUUAUACCGGAAAGGAAAUCCUGAUUCUGUUUCAAGUACUCCUGACAUGGAGCGAAGAGAAACCACGAUUUCAACACCACGGAUAACUUCCAAAACAGGCUCCAUUCGUUUGAAGACCCCUGCCAGAGGUUCUGAAGGAGGAUGGUUUAUUGACAAAACCCCGGGUGGGAAGAAAGACAGUUUUUUCUCAGACCUAUCAGAUGAGAAAAGUAAUGAUAAGAAGCCGAUCUCUGAGAUAGAGAAUUCAAAAGAUUCUUCUCUUCUGGAGAGUAAUAAAAAAAGAAAAGGCAGGCUAAACAGCAAAAGAGGCAAAAGGAAGAAAGAAGAUCUUCAGGAAGUAGAUGGAGAAAUAGAGGCUGUCCUGCUAAAGAAAGCUAAAGCCAGGGGGCUAGAAUUGCAGAUCUCCAAGGUGAAGUUUGAAGAUGUUGGAGGCAAUGAUACGACAUUAAAAGAGGUCUGCAAGAUGCUCAUACACAUGCGUCACCCAGAGGUGUACCACCACCUGGGCGUCAUACCCCCACGCGGAGUUCUUCUUCAUGGACCACCGGGCUGUGGGAAGACGUUGCUUGCACAUGCAAUUGCUGGGGAACUUGACCUUCCAAUAUUGAAAGUAGCUGCUACAGAGAUUGUAUCUGGAGUAUCUGGAGAAUCGGAACAGAAGCUGAGAGAGCUAUUUGAACAAGCUGUGUCAAAUGCACCAUGUAUCCUUUUUAUUGAUGAAAUUGAUGCUAUUACCCCCAAAAGAGAAGUUGCUUCAAAAGAUAUGGAACGAAGAAUUGUAGCCCAGCUCCUAACCUGCAUGGACGAUCUGAAUGACAUGGCCGCUACAGCUCGGGUCCUAGUCAUCGGAGCUACUAACCGACCAGACUCCUUAGACCCUGCUUUGAGACGUGCAGGAAGGUUCGACCGAGAGAUAUGCCUAGGUAUCCCAGAUGAAGCAUCCAGGGAAAGAAUACUUCAAACUUUGUGCAGAAAAGUAAGACUUCCCGAAACUUUUCAUUUUCGGCACUUAGCACACCUAACGCCGGGCUUCGUUGGUGCUGACCUGAUGGCACUCUGCCGAGAGGCAGCCAUGUGUGCAGUCAACAGGGUCUUAAUGAAGCUGCAGGAGCAGCAGCAGAAGAAUCCUGAGAUUGAAGGUUUGCCCUCUGAAGGAGGCCAGGAAGAAAGGAUUGGAACUGAGCCCACUUCUAAAACACAGGAUGAAUUGCAAAGGCUCUUGGGGUUGCUGAGGAACCAAGAUCCCCUCUCAGAGGAGCAGCUGCAAGGGCUGUGCCUUGAGUUGAAUGAUUUCAUUGUUGCUCUAUCCUCUGUCCAACCCUCUGCUAAAAGGGAAGGCUUUGUCACUGUCCCUAAUGUGACAUGGGCAGAUAUUGGUGCCCUGGAAGACAUUAGAGAGGAGCUCACCAUGGCAAUAUUGGCACCAGUACGUAACCCAGAUCAGUUCAAAGCUUUUGGGUUGGAGACUCCAGCUGGAGUCCUCCUUGCUGGUCCCCCUGGCUGUGGGAAAACUCUGCUGGCAAAGGCUGUUGCAAAUGAGUCUGGGUUAAAUUUUAUAUCUGUCAAGGGGCCUGAGUUACUAAAUAUGUAUGUUGGUGAAAGCGAGCGUGCUGUGCGACAGGUUUUUCAGCGAGCCAAGAAUUCAGCACCCUGCGUGAUAUUCUUUGAUGAAGUGGAUGCCUUAUGUCCUCGAAGAUCAGUCCGAGAGACAGGGGCAAGUGUCCGGGUGGUAAAUCAGCUACUUACAGAGAUGGAUGGUCUGGAAACACGUCAGCAGGUUUUUAUUAUGGCAGCCACUAACAGACCAGAUAUCAUUGACCCUGCAAUCCUGCGCCCAGGCCGCCUGGACAAAACACUCUUUGUGGGUUUGCCACCCCCAGCAGAUCGUCUCGCCAUCUUAAAAACUAUCACAAAAGUGCAAUUCUUCCUUCAUUCCAGGGAAAUGUUUCUGUGUUGUAUGUAUGAAUACUUUUUCUGUAUCAUUUGUUGGAUUUAUUUCUUCAAGGUCACUGAUUAUUCUUAUAUUAGAUACCCUUUGUCUUCUGUAUCUUUUGUCUACUUGUUUUAUUUUUUAUUUACUUUUUAAAUUUAUUUAUUUAUUUAAUUUUAUUUUUGGCUGCGUUGGGUCUUUGCUGCUGCGCACAGGCUUUCUUCAGUUGAGGUGAGCUGGGGCUACUCUUCGUUGUGGUGCGCAGGCUUCUCAUUGCGGUGGCCUCUCCUGCCGCGGAGCACGGGCUCCAGGUGUGUGUGUUUCAGUAGUUGUGGCACGUGGGCUCAGUAGUUGUGGCUCACGGGCUCUAGAGUGCAGGCUCAGUAGUUGUGGCGCAAGGGCUCAGCUGCUCCACGGCAUGUGGGAUCUUCCCAGACCAGGGCUCGAACCCAUGUCCCCCGCAUUGGCAGGCAGACUCUUAACCACUGUGCCACCAGGGAAGCUCCUGUUUACUUGCUUUAAUUUGUCUUUUUCUACUGCACUCACUGUGAUUAAACUUGAAGUCUUCUCUUUUUUUCCUUUUUUCCUUCCUUUCAUUGGAACCCCCAAGUUCAUGAAAUGAACUUGAUGGUUACUUCAUCCAUACCUUCUCUUUGUCCCAAUGUAGAGUGAAUGAGUUCUCUCAUCACCCUCUCACUCUACCUGGAACUAGUUUUCCUACACUUCACACAUUACAAUUUGAGGUCUGGUUAAUUGCUUUCUGUCCACAUUUUUAUAGCCUGGGGGUGGGAAAGAGAGCUAAGCCAGUACUGAUUUGACCAUUAUAAGGAAGCCUGAACUUAUUCUCUUCUGAAAGAGACCCUGUGAAAUGCCUGAUGCCUGGACCUGCUCUCUUCAUGCAGAGCGUGUCUCAUUCCCAUGUGCUUGUGCCCCCAGUGCUGCACAGCUCCUGGGGAAUGGCAUACCUUGGCGUUUCUUCCUGAUUCUGCUGAAAUCCCCUGAUAGUAUAUCUGAAGGAGGGGAAACAGGAGGAUAAUCAGCUCUGUGGGUUAACAAGACCCCACUGCCAGCAGUAUGGAAGCCAACUUGGAGAAAGGUGAAAGUCAAGGUUGUAAAAUGAGGCAUGCCGGAACUAAGGCAGUAUCAGGGGAAUAGCAAAGAGGACAUAGAUGUGGGGACUAUUUAAAGGUUUUAGUUAAUAGGACAUUGGAUUAACUAUAGAGUUAGGGGGGUAAAGAAAAAGGAAGAUGAUUUCUCAGCUUGAGCAGCUGAAUCGAUGGUGGUGUCUAUCAACACAAGAGAUUGAGGAAUGAGGAGGUGAUGUCAUUUGAGUUUCAGGUGCUUGGGCACUAUCCACGGGGAGACGUGUAGUAGGAUGUUAGUCCUGUGGUUGGGAGUUCAGAGGAGUCCUCUGGCUGGGUUAUGGUUUCGCCUGUCAUCAGCACAUAGCUGGUGGUCAAAGCCAUGAAAACACAUUGCUUUAGUUCAGUGGCUCUCAACCUAGGGCAGUUUUACCAUCACCAGCAACCCAUCUCACCCCAAGGGCAAUGUCUCGGGACAUUUGUUUAUCACCAAGGCAGGGGAGUGAUGGUGCUACUGGACAUCCUACAACAUACAAAACAGCCCCACAACAAAGAAUUUUCCAACUCAAAGUAUCAAUAAUGCCAAAGUUAAGAACCUCUUCUUUAGUUAUAUGUACUUGUUUCUUUGUAUCAAUCGAGUUUGAUGAUGAUGCAUCAAGGCACUUCUCUCCCUUUCCUUGGCUCUGUCAUUAGAGACUAUGAUAGUGAGAUUCUGUUUGCUUUGGUUAAUGUCUAUUUAGAUCUUCCGCCCAUUUUUUGUUUGGGUUGUUUGUUUUUUUGAUAUUGAGCUUCAUGAGCUGUCUGUAUAUUUUGGAGAUUAAUCCCUUGUCGGUUGCUUCAUUUGCAAAUAUUUUCUCCCAUUCUGAGGGCUGUCUUUUUGGUUUUUUUUUUUUUUUUUUUUUUUUUUUUUUGCGGUACGGGGGCCUCUCACUGCCGUGGCCUCUCCCGUCGUGGAGCACAGGCUCCGGACGCGCAGGCCCAGCGGCCAUGGCUCACGGGCCCAGCCGCCCCGCGGCACGCGGGAUCUUCCCGGACCGGGGCACGAACCCGUGUCCCCUGCAUCGGCAGGCGGACUCCCAACCACCGCGCCACCAGGGAAGCCCUGUCUUUUUGUUUUGUUUACAGUUUCCUUUGCUGUGCAAAAGCUUUUAUGUUUAGUUAGAUUUGUUUUAUUUUUGUUU